UAUUGUUCAGGCUGCAUGGUAGACAGUCGGGGUCCUGAGAAAAGCUCUAUUUAAAGCAGCUGGAAGGGCGCUGAGGGUCGUCGGUGGCGUUGUUACUCUGGGAAUCAGGAAUGAUCGCUCGGAUCCUUGCUUAGAGAAGUGGGCACUUUAGAUUUCUACGUGGACUGGCUCAGGAAAAGGCAUUUGAGGGGUCCUAGAGCUACGACUUCACCCAGGAUUCUGCCCAAAUUGAAGCAUCUUGUCUUGAAAACGAAUGGAAGAUAAUACAUGUUUAAAGUAUCAUCAUCUCCAUCACUUUGCUUCUGUAUCUAAUCUUACCACCUGCUUUGUCUCUUCAAGCUUUAAAAGAUCUUAUUUCCAUAUCUGCAACAUCCUCCCAAGGAUGUGAAUAGAUCAUUUCAUCUUAUUGCUGUUAGCUCCAUGGAUCUGCAUAUGGUUCAGUGCUCAGAGCUUUUUCAAACAACAGUGGCCUGGAAUAAGAGCAGGAUUUUGGUAACUUUUACUGUUGCUAUUCAGAAUCCGAUCCCAUAUGUAGCAGUGGAACUGACAAGAACUAUGUCACUUUAACCCUGCUACUUGGAAAAAUCCUGAGUGGCAGCAAAAGAAACUACUGGAGAGGGAAAUUCAGAGUAUGAAGGAAGGUGGAGGAUAGACUAGUAGAACAACUUUAAGGUUAGGGGCUGGUAGAGAGAAUGCUCCUUCUUUUGCAGGGGGAAUAUAUGGGGACGGGGCUUCAAAACUGUCAGACACCUACUAGCAAGCAGCUGACAUAAAAGACGGAGCCCUUGAGUAGGGUAAAGGGACAACACCAUGGUAGGCAGCAAGUUGGGAAGGGUAGUUGGCUUUUCACUAGGUCAUUAAGUUGGUCAGUGAGCUUCCUCCUGUCUUUUUAUUUUGGACUCUGUCUACUGAGUUUAAUCUUUUGACUAGUUGGUAUCUGGUAAAUUUUUCAAACCCUGCUUUAAAACUUCAUCCCAUUUCUUUAACAUCACUUACUCGGUAUUCACUGUAUUUCCCACUUUUCUGAUGGGGAAACUGAGGCACUAAUAUCAUAAUCAAGCUCUCUCUUCUGUGGCACUGUAACUAAAUCUUAUGGCAGGAAUCACAAAUUAUGCUUCAGUAUUAAUUUACUCUAUAAUCAUGGAAUACUCUUCAUUCCUAUGGCUAACUGAAUGUAAACUUAAUGAUUAUUUUCAAUUAUGGUUUUUUUUAAAUGCACUGUCAAGGUUGUCCAUCUUCCUGGGCUUCUGCUGUACUAAAGUACAUGCAAAUUGCUUCACGUGAAUCUUUUUCUUAUGUUUAUUUUCUGUAGUGAAUUAUAAAUUGAAUAAGUCAGCACUGGUGCAGUGACAACAUAUUAACUAUUUUGUAGUAAUAAAGAGAAUUUUUUAAGAGCUACUUAA